CCCUUAGAUGUCCUGGGCGGCCCGCGCGCUACAAUGUCAGCUACUGAAGGUUAAUGCUUUGAAAGAGAGCGCGCUCUCCUUUUAAUUGCUCGCAUGCUGGGAUAAAUGAAUGCAAUUUUGUUUUGAACGGGGAAUUCCUAGUAGCCAUGUUUCACUAGAAGAUGGCGAAUGCGUCCCUGCCCUUUGUACACACCGCCCGUCGCUCCUACCGAUGAGCGUUUUGGCGAAGACGGUUUGAGUAGCUGCGUAAUUUCGUGUUGUUGACUCCGGCAGUUUGAGCCUUCACGUUUAGAGGAAGGAGAAGUCGUAACA
rnacentral:rRNA from 1 species